rnacentral:rRNA from 1 species
CCUGGAAACAGAUGCUAAUACCGGAUAACAACAGAUGAUGCCUAUCAACUGUUUAAAAGAUGGUUCUGCUAUCACUCUUGGAUGGACCUGCGGUGCAUUAGCUAGUUGGUAGGGUAACGGCCUACCAAGGCGAUGAUGCAUAGCCGAGUUGAGAGACUGAUCGGCCACAUUGGGACUGAGACACGGCCCAAACUCCUACGGGAGGCAGCAGAC